UGCCGGUCCGAAGGUAGUGAGUUACCUCAUUUGAUUGUUCAGAGUCAGUUACAGAUUGAACUCCUUGUUUUACUCUUUCUCCCCUUCUCACUACUGCACUUGACUAGUCUUAA
rnacentral:Y_RNA from 1 species